rnacentral:rRNA from 1 species
UACAGAGGGGGCAAGCGUUGUUCGGAAUUACUGGGCGUAAAGGGCGCGUAGGCGGCCUUCUAAGUCGAACGUGAAAUCCCUGGGCUCAACCCAGGAACUGCGUCCGAUACUGGAAGGCUUGAAUCCGGGAGAGGGAUGCGGAAUUCCAGGUGUAGCGGUGAAAUGCGUAGAUAUCUGGAGGAACACCAAUGGCGAAGGCAGCUCGCUGGGACGUGACUGACGCUGAGACGCGAAAGCGUGGGGAGCAAACAGG